CCUGUGGUGCCAGGCUGGAAUGGUCUGCUUGGGGACCUAGCCAGCUCCCACGGCCUUUCUGCUGCUUCCUCUACCCCCGUAUUUUGCUCAGCUCUCGAAAUUGACUCAGCAGCAUUAUUCACAAUAACCAAGAGAUGGAAGCAAUACAAAUGUCUAUCAACAGAUGAACAGACCAAGAAAAUGUGAUACACUCACACGACGGGACACCAUUCUGUCUUAAAAAGGAAGAAUAUAUGCUCCAUGAGAGAAAGGACAGAAGCCUCACCUCGCAGGUGUCCCAGGACCAAUAAUGGCAGAACACUGAAACCCUCUACAUCUUGCAAGAUUUCUUCACUUUCUGAGCCUCUGAUUUCUCAUCUAUAGGACAAGUAUAAUUAUACACAGUGGCGUGCUGGCCUCAUGUGGAACCAAAAAAGGAUGUAAAGGAGCUGGCAGUUCUGUGGCCUGGAUAGUUAAAGACAGAUACUUUCCCAAGUCUUGAAAAAACAAAGCCUUAAGUUGAUGGGAACCGAAAUAUCUCAAACUAAGUCAGCCUGGUAGAGCCACUUGAUCCAGCCAGCUGAAAUGCAGAUGGAGGACUCUGAAGACUGGUGCGAGCAGUCACUUUUAUUUUUAACAGAAAAUGUAUACAACCAAGUCUGAAGGUUAGACAAAUCUGAAAGACAGGUAACGGUAGAAAAGAGCAAGAAACAGGAGAUCCACAAAGUUUUAGAAACAAGAGAAAAUCAUGCUCUGGAAAUAGGGGAGGGUGACUGUUCUUAAUGUGGUGUGUGUGUAACUACAUGCGCAUAUGCGCACACAUACAUGCUCAAAAUGUAACAGUUGAGAUCAUCAAUCGGUAGUGAUCAAUUAAUGCACUUUUCCUUUAGAUAAUACAAGGAGGAGACUUUCUUCACUUCUUUAAAUAAUGAAAAGAGAAAACAAUUCAAGUUGUUCAUGCAUCACUAGGAUUUAAGUAGAACUCCACACAACUAAGAAAUAUGGGGGGGAAAUAUGGUAGCACAGUUUGCUGUUACCACUAAUUACCCUGCAGUAUAGCUCCAAGAAUGUUCCUCUGCUUUUAUAAAACUGUUUUCUUUUGAAGUCUUAGAAAAUAAUUCAGUCAAUAACUAACCCCAUAUACAUGCAGAGAAUAAUGGCAAAAUCUAUAGCUACGAAAGGGACUGUUAUGAGGGAGAAAUGCACAAUAUAAUUCUAAAGAGAUGAAGAAUUUAUUUAUCAAGCGUGUUAAAGGCACAGUGUCUCCACCUACUGUAGAGUAGGAGGAUUCAAAUCUUCAGUGUCUUGGUGUUUGGUCUUUUUCCUGUGAAUUUUCUUCCUCUCUCUGAGUGUGUCCUUCAGAGGAAGACGCCCUUGUGUACAUUGCAGGAAUGCCACACCCUU